rnacentral:misc_RNA from 1 species
GAUGAAGAACGCAGCGAAAUGCGAUAAGUAAUGUGAAUUGCAGAAUUCAGUGAAUCAUCGAAUCUUUGAACGCACCUUGCGCCCUUUGGCUAUUCCGAAGGGCAUGCCUGUUUGAGUAUCAUGAACACCUCAACUCUCAUGGCUUGCCAUGAUGAGCUUGGACUUUUGGGGGUCUUGCUGGCCUUUGGUCAGCUCCUCUCAAAUGAAUUAGCCUGCCAGUGUUUGGUGGCAUCACAGGUGUGAUAACUAUCUACGCUUGUGGUUUUCCACCAGGUAACCUUCAGUGAUGAAGGUUCGCUGGGGCUCAUAAACGUCUCUCCUCAGUGAGGACAGCUCUUUGAACGUUUGAUCUCAAAUCAGGUAGGACUACCCGCUGAACUUAAGCAUAUCAAUAAGCGGAGGA